rnacentral:rRNA from 1 species
GCGGACGGGUGAGUAAUGCCUGGGAAACUGCCCGAUGGAGGGGGAUAACUACUGGAAACGGUAGCUAAUACCGCAUAACGUCUUCGCGACCAAAGUGGGGGACCUUCGGGCCUCACACCAUCGGAUGUGCCCAGGUGGGAUUAGCUAGUAGGUGGGGUAAUGGCUCACCUAGGCGACGAUCCCUAGCUGGUCUGAGAGGAUGACCAGCCACACUGGAACUGAGACACGGUCCAGACUCCUACGGGAGGCAGCAGUGGGGAAUAUUGCACAAUGGGCGCAAGCCUGAUGCAGCCAUGCCGCGUGUAUGAAGAAGGCCUUCNGGUUGUAAAGUACUUUCAGCGGGGAGGAAGGCGGUGGAGUUAAUAGCUUCACCGAUUGACGUUACCCGCAAAAGAAGCACCGGCUAACUCCGUGCCAGCAGCCGCGGUAAUACGGAGGGUGCAAGCGUUAAUCCGAAUUNCUGGUCGUAAAGCGCACUCAGGCGGUCUGUCAANUCGGAUGUGAAAUCCCCNGGCUUAACCUGNNAACUGCAUUCNAAACUGGCAGGCUANAGUCNUGUAAAGGGGGGUANAAUUCCANGUGUAGCGNUGAAAUGCNUAGAGAUCUGGAGGAAUAC